GGAAAGCAAGGUCAAUGGUGUGGUGUCAGACCUGCCUGGGCAUGCAGCAGAGGGAGCUCUGCUGCACCAUGAUCUAUAUUCAGGAAGGGUGGAGCAGUUCAGGCUGCUGAACCAGGUGUGGAGCAGAGUGGCCCUUGCUGCACCAUGAUCUUAGGAGAGCCGGGGAAGACACACAGCAAUGGCACACACAGAUUGGUUUCAAGUCACCAAGCUGGUCCAGGCUACAAGUCUCACCAUCCAGGAAAAAUAGCAGCUGUAGCAGUUCCCCUCCUGCCUAGGCUUACCAUGGGGAAGAGCACAAUUCUAGCCCUGCUCCUGGGGUGAUGUCC
rnacentral:lncRNA from 1 species